UACGGAGGGAGCUAGCGUUGUUCGGAAUUACUGGGCGUAAAGCGCACGUAGGCGGCUUUGUAAGUUAGAGGUGAAAGCCCGGGGCUCAACCCCGGAAUUGCCUUUAAGACUGCAUCGCUUGAAUCCGGGAGAGGUGAGUGGAAUUCCGAGUGUAGAGGUGAAAUUCGUAGAUAUUCGGAAGAACACCAGUGGCGCAGGCGGCUCACUGGACCGGUAUUGACGCUGAGGUGCGAAAGCGUGGGGAGCAAACAGG
rnacentral:rRNA from 1 species